rnacentral:snRNA from 1 species
AAGGGUGUGUGCAUUCGGUAAAUUUUGUCAAAUUCCCUUCUNUACUAAAAUUGGAAUGAUAGAAGAUUAGCAUAACUCCUGCACGAGCAUGACACACAAAUCUGUGAAGCAUUCCAAUAUUUA